rnacentral:rRNA from 1 species
GCACCCGCGGUAAUUCCAGCUCCAAUAGCGUAUAUUAAAGUUGUUGCAGUUAAAAAGCUCGUAGUUGGAUUUCUGCGAGGGUGCCAAUGUCCGCCGACGCGCGUGCGCAGCGGCGCCCUCGCAUCCUUCUGUUACCACCUCUCGGCAUUCACUUGCCGGUGGUCGGCUCAGAGAAUUUACCUUGAGAAAAUUAGAGUGUUUCAGGCAGGCUAGGCCGGAAUACAUUAGCAUGGAAUAAUGGAAUAGGACUACGGUCUCGUUGUUGGUUUGAGGGACUGCAGUAAUGAUUAAUAGGGAUAGUUGGGGGCAUUAGUAUUUAAUUGUCAGAGGUGAAAUUCUCAGAUUUGUUAAAGACUAACUUAUGCGAAAGCAUUUGCCAAGGAUGUUUUCAUCGAUCAAGAACGAAAGU